rnacentral:rRNA from 1 species
GAUCAACGCUGGCGGCGUGCCUCAGACAUGCAAGUCGAACGAGAACCUCCCUUCGGGAGGGGAAAGUGGCGCACGGGUGAGUAACACGUGGGUAAUUUACCUUUGGGUGGGGAAGUAACAGUCGGAAACGACUGCUAAUACCGCAUGAUGCAGCGGCACCACAUGGUGACAGUUGUUAAAGCGGGGGAGUCGCAAGACCUCGCGCCUGAAGAGAAGCCGCGGCAGAUUAGCUAGUUGGUAAGGUAAUGGCUUAUCAAGGCAACGAUCUGUAGCCGGCCUGAGAGGGCGGUCGGCCACACUGACACUGAAUAACGGGUCAGACUCCUACGGGAGGCAGCAGUCGGGAA